GACGAACGCUGGCGGCGUGCUUAACACAUGCAAGUCGAACGGAAAGGCCCCUUCGGGGGUACUCGAGUGGCGCACGGGUGAGUAACACGUGAGUAACCUGCCCUUGACUUCGGGAUAACUUCAGGAAACUGGGGCUAAUACCGGAUAGGAAUCCUUGCUGCAUGGUGGGGGUUGGAAAGCUUCGGCGGUUUUGGAUGGACUCGCGGCUUAUCAGCUUGUUGGUGGGGUAGUGGCUUACCAAGGCUUUGACGGGUAGCCGGCCUGAGAGGGCGACCGGCCACAUUGGGACUGAGAUACGGCCCAGACUCCUACGGGAGGCAGCAGUGGGGAAUAUUGCACAAUGGGCGGAAGCCUGAUGCAGCAACGCCGCGUGCGGGAUGACGGCCUUCGGGUUGGAAACCGCUUUCAGCAGGGGCGAAGCUUGUGGUGACGGUACCUGCAGAAGAAGCACCGGCUAACUACGUG
rnacentral:rRNA from 1 species